rfam:Erinaceus europaeus unplaced genomic scaffold scaffold00803, whole genome shotgun sequence
AUACUUACAUAGCAGGGGAGAUACCAUGAUCACAAAAGUGGUUUUCUCAGGGCGAGCCUUUUCUAUUGUAUUCUGGAUGUGCUGGUCCCUGCGACUACCCCCAAGUGUAGGAAACUCAGCUGCAUAACUUAUGGUAGUGGGGGAUUAUGUUCAUGUUCUUCCCUG